ensembl:lncRNA
CCCCAUCAUGACAGCUGCUUUUCAUGGCUCCCACUGUACAGUGUUCUACUGUUCUGUGGUGUGGCUAUUUCUGUUGGAAGCAUCUGUAACUGUCCUUCCAAGAAGUCUUUCUGGCAAGCAUCAGAUGACUUAACCAUUUGCUCCCUUUACAUUGUAGUUUCUUUUCAUCUUCAUUUUUCCACUGAUAUGUAAAGCUGGAUAGCAUCUAAGACUGCAGUAGACUAUGAGAGGAAGAAGAAGAGGAAGGGCUGCUCAGCUGUUGUGAUACCCAGAUGGGGCUGCUUACACCUGCUUCUGCUGAACCAGGCUGCUCAACCAAGCCAGGUGUAAACCAGUGUUCUGUAAAUGAUCAUCUAAAAUUGGUGUUCCAUCAUCGUGGGGGAAGAGCACAUUUGGAGGUGUUCUUCAGUCCGACAAAUUUCUCCAUUCAUUAUCUGGAUGAAUAUUACUGAAUCUUCACAAUUGGGCUAGACCAAGAUUGUGGAUACCUCUUGGUGGAUACCUUCAUUGAGGGAACUGACACAUGAGCAUCCUCAAGAAACAGCAAGGAAUAUUGUCAACAAAGUGUAAAGUAUAGUUGAAGAGAUGCUGAAGGUGGAGGUAUAAGGAAGAGAAUGGAGAUCAAGGGCCAGGAUGGUAAUUAAUUGGUCGGCCUGGUUGUGACCAUGAGAAUGAGUGGUUGAAGUGGGAUGAGACACAUCUUGAGACAGGCCUUUGGUUGCAUUAACUGAGAUAUGACAUGACCAGAUGCUUCAAGUUCCUGCUGCUCUGCCUUUCCUACUGUGUUGGACUUUACUGUAAACUUUGAGAUAAAUAAGCCUUUUAUCCAUUAAAUUGCUUUUGUCAGAGUACACUAUCACAGCACCAGGGAAAGAAACUAAGUCAGUAAUGGCUUCGUUAUUGUGUCUCUGGAAAGGGAGUAAUUUGUGAUCUGUAGUUGAUUUCUCAUGGGCUUCUAGUUUAUUAUUAUUGAACAUUUUUCAAUUGAUUUGAAAAGUUUUAUUAAGAGCCAGCUGUGUUAUAGUCAGAGUAGUGAAGAAAUGCUGUAGUUUAACAAUGUAGUUUAAAAUGUAGCUUUUCCCCUUCUGAUAUAGCAGUUGGUCACCUUCCCACCUGAAAUCUAGGCCAUGCUCACUCUGAAGGAAUUGCCUGCACAUGUUGGUAGAGGACACAUUUUGUUCUUCUGCCAUGACUCAUACAGACUGGAAGAUGACAGGGUGAGAAACAUCAGACUAAGUGUGGUUUUAAAUGUUAUUCAUUUUAAAUUCCUUGGAAAAUCACUCUAUUCAUUAAAUAUGAAUGAUUUUCUAAUUAUCAAGUAAACAAUUUCUUUACCAGGAAGGAAGGAACAAUCAAGUGUUUAAUUCUGAAGAACUCAUCACUGGAUGUCUCCAGAGAGGACUCAGAAAACCAAUGGAAGUGAGACAAACUGAAGUGUGGUUGGAAACUAGGCUGGGUAGCAGAGACAGUGUCCAAGCAUCUGGAUAAAUGGAUACAGGAGAUGAGAGACACUAUAAUAUAACAAUUCCACUAGAUGAUAAUAGACUAGUUGAAAGUGAAAGGAACUAUGUAUAAACUAACUUCGUUGUGAUGAAAACUGUUGUGGUGCUUUUAGAGACAGAGAGAAAGGUAUCUGGGCUGAGGUUCCCAGGGUGGUCUAUGGCCAGGGAUGUGCUAAUAAGCAUGGCUGAUGGCUUGUCACCCAUGUACAUACAGAGAACACUAAUUGAUUCAGUGGGUUUAACAUUAAAAGGGAGAGAACAUGAGAUUGGUAAGGGAAUGGAGGAUACUUGGGAGGAACUGAAGGGUAAUGGGCAGUAUAUAUGAUCAAAUACAUUAUAGAUAUGUUUGAAAUUCCCAAUGAAUAAUAAUAAACAAUUUCUAUAGAUAAUCUAGAGGCAAUUAUAGCAAGAGCCAAUGAUAUGCAGUCUUAAUUCAAAGACAAUACACUAUAUUUCUAAGUAGC